rnacentral:lncRNA from 1 species
UUGUCACACGACCUCUUACUCCCCACAUCUGCAGAACCUACACGGCUUUUGGAAGCUUCACACACAUCAUUUCCAGUCUGGAACGGUUCAUUGGGCGUUGCAGCAAUGCUGUUUCCUGCCGAGGUCUCUGUUUCGGUUGGAGUGUCUAGAGGGAGGAUCUUGGUCACAGUUAGAGCUUGGGUCUUGCCUGAUAAGUUGUGCUCUGUCAACUUCACAUAAAACUUGUGUCUUUGUCCGAUGGUGUUGAUUAGAGCUUCCGGGACAGGCACCUCUUGGUCAACUCCUAUGUCAGCAUUAGCCUGACAAUCAGCACAACAGUGUGAGUUCAAUUCAUCUAAGAUUCUAGACUGAUUAUUAGUUACCUCAAAGUAGCUGCUAACUAAUUCUGAUGCAUGCCUUCCAGUUAGCGCACGCCCAGCAUCAACAAGUAGUACAAAAACAGCUUGGUCACUGACUCAUUAGAAAAAUUCCUUCUUUCAUUAAUUAAAACGGUACAGAACCAGUGUGUAAAUGAUUAUAAACUGAAAAAGAGAUCACCAUUCACAAAAUUUCAUCAUUUAUGGCUUCUGGUGAAACCUGAAAACCGAAUCUGGUUUUUAAAAAUUUAAAAAGAAAGAAGAUAGAAGGAGAAAAACAGCUGCAUAUAUAAUCUGAGAUUCACUUGCAUAUAGCUAUAAAGAUUUUCAGAGAAUUUCAGCAUGCAAAAAUUUAAACACACAAAAAAAGAGAAGAAAAACUCAGAUUAUAUAUAUUUUUUUUUUAAAGGCAAAGAGGCAAUCAGUAAAUAGUUAUUUAAUCUUUGAAAAGAAUGUGUACCGGUGGGGGUUCAUGAUCAUCAAAACUCGUGCUUUUCCUAGAUCCGGUAGAAGAAAACAAUAUAGCACACUUCACAAAAUAUGAUCUAUAAAUCUGAGCUUUACUCCACCAAACUGCUUGAGAACAAACAUUCUAGAGAAUAAGCCAGCAAGAACCCACUUCAACCAAUACAAAUAGCUAAAGAAAAAAACGGAACCCGUAACGAAAUGAUAAUGAAAGGGCGUCAGUCUUUUGUACAGAGUAAAUAGAAUAGGUAUAUAAAGAAGGAUGAACAUGAGGAGAUGAAACGAAAACAUAAAAGACAAAAUUGAAUGAUGAAAUAAAAAAAAGAGUUUCGUUUGUGUAGAAGUUGAUCGAUCAGAGCUCUGUCUCUACGGUCUGAAUCGGAGGAGACGAAGAGGCGGAGGCGUAGAUCCUUGAGAGCUCCGUCUGCUCUAGGUUUCAUCGAGACCUCCGUGUUUUUUUUUGUUGAAUUUGUCGACAAAAGACAAUAGAGCGAAGCCCCAAACCCAUAAAAAAUACCCACCAAAGGCCCAAACGUAACAGAAACAACAAAGCAGUUCAUGUGACGUGUCCAGACGAAAUAUUGUGAUUGGUUGAUUAUUUUGGGUGAUGUGGCAGUCUAAAAUCUCAGCAUAUUGAGCUUUUAGUAGUGUUAGAUUUUAAUUCAUUAAAAAUAGUAUUUCUUAGACAUGAAAAAUAUAUACCAUAUCAACUGUUUCAAAUUCUUAAUUGGUGUAACGUCAUAAAAACAGCAAUCAUUAUUAAAAGCAAUGCCCUUUAUAAAAAAAACAUUAUUAAAAGCAGUAAUUGUUAAACUGGAUGUUUUUCUUAUAUAAAUCAUACCUUUUUUGGAGAAAAAAAGCUACUAUAAAUCAUAAGUUGAGAAAAAAGAAAGAUAUAAGUGAUAAAAUACAAACAAACUUUAACUUGUAAUGAAUACUGAUGUACAUAUGUAAUACAAUAAAAUUAUACCGUUCAUGAUGAGAGAAGGAAACAAAAAAGGUUGAGAGAAGGAAACCCUAAUCUUAAUAGGGGAAGCCCGACAUUGUUUCCUCUCUUCUGCGUUUUGUUUCUCUGCUUUCCAGUUGCUGUCAUCUUCACAGUCCAGCGAGAAAUCACCGCCGCAGUUUCGCCGGAGCUUGGCUUCCACUCACGAAAUCUACACGCUUCUACUCCGGCGGUUCGAUUUCGUCAGCAGAUUCCUAAAGACGACGAACAGCUUCUCCGACUCGCUUCCCGGGUCAACCCGAACCAGCCUUCUCCCGGGUCGAUUCGGAAGCUGGCUUUCAUGUAUCUAACGACGUCGCCUCUUCCGUUUGCGCCUCUGUGGGAAGCCUUCUUCAACGGAAGCUCCGAGGAGCUCUACAAUGUAUACGUUCACGCAGACCCGACCCGAGAAUACGACCCGCCGUUCUCCGGCGUGUUUGAGAAUCGUGUAUGGCUAGAACCGUGUUGUUUAAUGACUCGGCAUGUGGUGCGUGAAUGGUUCUCUGAUGGCUUUGUUGUAAAUUUAGAUGUAGUUUUAGUUCUUUUGUUUUGGUCAAGAAGUAGAAAAAAAUAAUUGUAAUCUAAUGGGUAGCUGGGACAAAAGAACCCAGUCUAUCAUUAUCCAAGGGGCUUGUUGAGUUAGACGUCAAAGCUCAUCCUCAUAAAUUCGCAACUGAAGUUAAGCAUCAGCAAAUCAAUUUACCUCGGUCACUGACCAAUGUAAUGGGAAGAAAAUGAAUAUAUAUAUAUGCAUGCCAAAGUUCCUCAAAAUCUUGGGUUAGUCUACAUCUCAAAUGGAUAUUAAGCAAUUUACUAAUUUUUAAUCUUCAGUUCAAGAGAUUUUACAAGUUAGAGAAUCAAAUACAGGACCAGGAGAGGUACACGAACUAUCUAUGUUUCAUGUUCUGCAUUGGCUUCUUAUUCUGUUAUAAGGAGCAAGUGCUAAUACAGUUAUUUACGAUUUAGAACACAUAACUUGGUAUUUGUUCUAGUUUGUUGUCUAGUGGCUUUAGUUGCUGAUUCGUUUAAAUAUUUAGAUUUAUUUACUUUCCUUGGUUUAUCGAAAAAGAGUGAUUUAUUUAGCAGGAAAACUGAUAUACAAGAGAACAUGAAGUAUGCUUAAUUGCUUAUAUAACCUGUUUGGUUACAAGCGAAACAUCAAAUAGCUACAAACAAGCUUAGUCACCUGAUAUUUUAACAUAAACAGAUUUUAUCACAGAAUAUAAUAUAAUUACAUUUACCAAUCGCUACUCGCUUGCUUCACCCAACUCAAACCAAAGGGGGGCAAAGAUAACCAAGGCGAUCUCAGAAGAUUUCAAUGUUUUACAAUAGGUAUAAAAGUUCAAAAAAAAAAAGGGUUUAAAUGACAUUAUUAAUCAAACUCAAAAGAUAAACAGUCUCAGAAGUUCAAGCAAACUCAUAACCAGGAAGAUACAAGAAGCAACCGGAUUAUAACACAAGAAAACAUGAGAUACCAUCUGUGUAUUGGUCGAAAAAUAUUAUAUAUUUAUGUAAAUAAAAUGAACAAAGCUCAGUAAGGGUUGUUGUAGUAAUACCCCAUCGGCGGCGGUCCCAUCCCAUUAACCGGUGGCAUCCCAUAAGGCAUUCCGUUCGGGGCAGGACUCAUCUUAGCCAAACUAGCUUGACCUCUCAUCCCUUCUUGCUGAUACUGCUGCCAUAACUGCUGCUCCUGAGUCAACAGAUGCUGCUUUUUGUCCAUCUCAGCCAUUUGCACAUACGAAGGAGGCGGGAUGGUCAGUGAAGCAGCGAAAGGGUCUUGGUUCACUUUCUGAACGGUUCCAUCAGGUGCAGGGAGUGCUAGUAUAUGGCUGUUGGUCUUACUCGGUAAAGGUAGCGCCACGCUGCUUGAACUUCCACCGGUUAACUCCGAGGUGCUCACGUGUUGUCUAACAGCUCCUUGAUCGUACAUACCGUUGAGCAGCAACGGGUCUAAACCACCGCCCAUCGCGGCUUUCUGAUGCUCUAGGUUGCUAGCUGUCUCGACCAACGCAAGCUCCCAAUCAGCCUUACCUUGCUCCGCAGCUGGAUUCUGCCAAGCUGAUGUCACCUCGCUGUUAUCAGAAGAGAACGCUUCCCAUUUUCCGUUACUACUAGCAGGACCGGCGAAAAGAGCAAGAGCAAACUUGUUCCCUUGGUCAUCAACACUAACACCAUCCUCCCUCAAGUCAACUAGAUCAUUAGUUACUUGCGGUUGCUCCGGCUUCACCUCUGGCUUUGGCGGCGGAGGUGGAGGCGGAGUGUAGUUCUCCGGAGGAGGAAGAGCUUUGAUCUCAUUCAUAUCAACCUCCGCCUCCUCCUCAGGAGCCGGAGCAGGAGGAGCUUCAAUCUCCUUCCGCUCCGGACUCUUCCCCCUCUUAGCUCUAUCCCUCACAAACUCCUCAAGCGUCUCCAACAACUUACUAGUAAUCCUCUGCACCUCAGGAUACUCAGAAGAUCUCGCCACACCUGUAUCCUUACACCAAUGGUAAAAAGCAAUGAGCUCAUCAAUCUGUUUCGCCGCGCUAGCGUAAGCAUCAAACGCCUUAACACAAUCCGUAUACUCCAUCUCAAAAAACUUAUCAAGCAGAACCGCCAACACUUCGCAAAUAUCAGCAUAAAGCCUGAAACUCUCUUUCACAAUGGGAUACAUAGCAACCAAUAUCAUCCUGCUGCUUUUAGCUAAACCGGUGGGACGAGAGGAUAAGAACCGUUCAUUGGGCGUUGCAGCAAUGCUGUUUCCUGCCGAGGUCUCUGUUUCGGUUGGAGUGUCUAGAGGGAGGAUCUUGGUCACAGUUAGAGCUUGGGUCUUGCCUGAUAAGUUGUGCUCUGUCAACUUCACAUAAAACUUGUGUCUUUGUCCGAUGGUGUUGAUUAGAGCUUCCGGGACAGGCACCUCUU